ACAAACCUCUCUGAACCAUCUCACAUACAGAAAAAGGUCCAGCCCUUUAUUUGUUGAGUUCUUCUUGUUCUUGUUCUUGUUCUUCCUGUUAAUGCUAUUGCUGUUAUCCUCAUCGCUUAGCUGCAUCAACUGUUGAGCCGCAACCAUUUCCGAAUCCGUUAAGACUUUUUGGGUUCUAUACAAGGCUUGUAACUUCGCCAUGAUCAUCAAGAA
rnacentral:misc_RNA from 1 species